CUGUGGUGACAGCACGUGCUACAGCUGAGUGGCGGUUCGGGUAUCGGGAAAGUGAGUAUAAUAUCGUAGUGGUCGAGUGUUUUUUCCGCUUUUCCCCGUGCGGCUGCGGUAUCAUCGACGCCGACGGUGUUCCCGAGGGACGUCUGGGGUAAAAGUGGUAGGGAAGAAGGAAUGAGCUGCAGGGAUUCUUGGAAGCUGUAUUAGGGUGAAGCUGCAACGCGGGACGAUUGAAGCGGAUUGACGAGCUCAGGUGUUGGUGUUGGUG